AAACAGAUAGGUUUGGUCCUGACCUUUUUAUUAGUUCUUUGUAAGAUUACACGUGCAAGCACCCCUACCCCAGUGAAAAUGUCCUCUAGAUCACCCAGAUCAAAAGGAGCAGGUAUCAAGCAUGCACAAAUGCAGCUCAAAACACUUUGCUCAACCACACCCUCACAGGAAACAGCAGUGUUAAAUCUAGUAAUACACAGAAGUUUAACUAAACUAUACUAAUAUUUAGGGUUGGUUAAUUUCGUGCCAGCCACCAUGGCCAUACAGUUAACCCAAGCUAACAGAACUUGGCGUAAAGAGUGCUAAGCUCCAUCUAAGUUGUAAAAAACUCCAGUUGAAAUAAAACAUACUACGAAAGUAGCUUUAAUACCCUGAAGACACAGUAGCUAAGACAAGAACUGGGAUUAGAUACCCCUCUAUGCUUAGCCCUAAACCCUAAUAGUUACAUUAACAAAACCAUUCGCCAGAGUACUACAAGCAACAGUUUAAAACUCAAGGACUUGGUGGUGCUUUAUAUCCCUCUAGAGGAGCCUGUUCUAUAAUCGAUAAACCCCGAUACAUCUCACCACCUCUUGCCCCCGGCCUAUAUGCCCACCUGCAGCAAACCCUAAAAAGGUUAUAGAGUAAGCACAAGCACACGCAUCAAAACGUUACGUCAAGGUGUAGCCCAUGAGGUGGCAAGAAAUGGGCAACAUUUUCUAUGUCCAGAAAAUCUCAUGACAGCCUUAUGAAAUCUAAGGGCUUAAGGAGGAUUUAGCAGUAAACCAAGAGCAGAGUGCUUGGUUGAAUAAGGCCAUGAAGGACGCACACACAGCCCAUCACCCUCCUCGAAUACUACUCUAGAAAUCACUAUUACUGAUAAUCUUCUACACAGGUAUAGAGGAGAUAAGUUGUAACAUGGUAAGCGUACUGGAAAGUGCGCUUGGAUAAACCAAAGU
rnacentral:ncRNA from 1 species